rnacentral:rRNA from 1 species
UACGUAGGGGGCGAGCGUUGUCCGGAUUUAUUGGGCGUAAAGAGUGUGUAGGCGGCCUGGUAGGUCUGCUGUGAAAACUCGAGGCUCAACCUCGAGACGUCGGCGGAAACCAUCUGGCUAGAGUCCGGAAGAGGAGAGUGGAAUUCCUGGUGUAGCGGUGAAAUGCGCAGAUAUCGGGAAGAACACCCAUGGCGAAGGCGGCUCUCUGGGACGGUACUGACGCUGAGACGCGAAAGCGUGGGGAGCGAACAGG